rnacentral:rRNA from 1 species
CCCUUCGGGGUGAGCGGCGGACGGGUGAGUAACGCGUGGGUAACCUGCCCUGUACACACGGAUAACAUACCGAAAGGUAUGCUAAUACGAGAUAAUAUAUUUUAAUCACAUGGUUAAGAUAUCAAAGCUCCGGCGGUACAGGAUGGACCCGCGUCUGAUUAGCUAGUUGGUGAGGUAAUGGCUCACCAAGGCGACGAUCAGUAGCCGACCUGAGAGGGUGAUCGGCCACACUGGAACUGAGACACGGUCCAGACUCCUACGGGAGGCAGCAGUGGGGAAUAUUGCACAAUGGGCGAAAGCCUGAUGCAGCAACGCCGCGUGAGCGAUGAAGGCCUUCGGG